CCUACGGGAGGCAGCAGUGAGGAAUAUUGGUCAAUGGGCGAGAGCCUGAACCAGCCAAGUCGCGUGAAGGAUGAAGGAUCUAUGGUUUGUAAACUUCUUUUAUAUGGGAAUAAAGUGAGGAACGUGUUCCUUUUUGUAUGUACCAUAUGAAUAAGCAUCGGCUAACUCCGUGCCAGCAGCCGCGGUAAUACGGAGGAUGCGAGCGUUAUCCGGAUUUAUUGGGUUUAAAGGGUGCGCAGGCGGAUUUUUAAGUCAGCGGUAAAAUCGUGGGGCUCAACCCCAUCCAGCCGUUGAAACUGGGGAUCUAGAGUUUGCGAGAGGUAUGCGGAAGGCGUGGUGUAGCGGUGAAAUGCAUAGAUAUCACGCAGAACCCCGAUUGCGAAGGCAGCAUACCGGUGCACAACUGACGCUCAGGCACGAAAGCGUGGGUAUCGAACAGGAUUAGAUACCCGGGUAGUC
rnacentral:rRNA from 1 species